rnacentral:rRNA from 1 species
UACAGAGGCCUCAAGCGUUGUUCGGAAUUACUGGGCGUAAAGGGCGCGUAGGCGGCCUUCUAAGUCGAACGUGAAAUCCCUGGGCUCAACCCAGGAACUGCGUCCGAUACUGGAAGGCUUGAAUCCGGGAGAGGGAUGCGGAAUUCCAGGUGUAGCGGUGAAAUGCGCAGAUAUCAGGAGGAACACCGGUGGCGAAGGCGGGUCUCUGGGCCGAUACUGACGCUGAGGAGCGAAAGCGUGGGGAGCAAACAGG